UACGAAGGGGACUAGCGUUGUUCGGAAUUACUGGGCGUAAAGCGCACGUAGGCGGAUUUGUUAGUCAGGGGUGAAAUCCCGGGGCUCAACCUCGGAACUGCCUUUGAUACUGCAAGUCUCGAGUCCGAUAGAGGUGGGUGGAAUUCCUAGUGUAGAGGUGAAAUUCGUAGAUAUUCGCAAGAACACCAGUGGCGAAGGCGGCUCACUGGCCCGAUACUGACGCUGAGGUGCGAAAGCGUGGGGAGCAAACAGGG
rnacentral:rRNA from 1 species